CAACCCUCAAGCUCUGCUUGGUAUUGGACGUCACCUCUUCUGGUGCGUCUUAAAAUCAGUGGCGGUGCCAUCUGGCUUCAAGCGUAGUAAUUCUUCUCGCUCUGGAGGACUAGGUGUGUGCUUGCCAGCAACCCUUAAUUUUUAUCA
rnacentral:misc_RNA from 1 species